CAAACACAAGAUAGCAAAGACACUGUUUGCCUAGAGAGCCCAGUUUUAACCCCAUGCUAGCUAUGGCAAGGCCCAGCUGGGGGAUUUCUCUCCUUCCCUGCUUCAGGCGGGGAAGGUCCACUGAGCAGAGAGCUUGCCGGAUGAGCCUGCCAGCCCAGGCCUGGUGACUGGCUUCUACAGAGAAUGUUAGAGCUGAAAGGACCCUAAAGAGCCACCCCUCUGCAUUUUACACAUGAAGAAACCAUGACCCAGAGAGACUGUGACAGAUCCAGGGCUACCAUUUGGUAAUGGCAGAGACAGACUGGUUUCCAGGAAUUCCGGAAACGUUUGCUCCACCAACCUGCACACAGAAAGUCAAAUUAAGGGUCCCGUGGAGACAGGUCCAGCAGUGCUUCAGCCCUGGGCUCAAGCCGUGGCAAGGAGAGAGGCAGUCCAGCAGCAGCAAGGAUGGGAAGAACAGCUGGACCCUCAGAGCAUCAUCACCACAGCAGAAGGCAAACUCCAUCCCUGCCCCUCCCCUCUCCUCCACUUUGCUAAAACAAACCAGAGAAGAACUGCAGGCCUUCCCGGAGGACCCUCACCUGCCAGCCUCUCCAGCAAGUCUGAACGGAGGCCCCUCCCUGUCUAGCC
rnacentral:lncRNA from 1 species